AUUGAACGCUGGCGGCAGGCCUAACACAUGCAAGUCGAGCGAGCGGCGGACGGGUGAGUAAUGUCUGGGACACUGCCUUAUGGAGGGGGAUAACUAAUGGAAACGGUAUCUAAUCCCGCAUACCAUCAGAUGUGCCCAGAUGGGAUGAGCUAGUAGGUGGGGUAAUGGCGCACCUAGGCGACGAUCUCUAGCUGGUCUGAGAGGAUGACCAGCAACACUGGAACUGAGACACGGGCCAGACUCCGACGGGAGGCAGCAGGGGGGAAUAUUGGACAAUGGGCGAAAGCCUGAUGCAGCCAUGCCGCGUGUGUGAAGAAGGCCUUCGGGUUGUAAAGCACUUUCAGCGAGGAGGCGUUACUCGCAGAAGAAGCACCGGCUAACUCCGUGCCAGCAGCCGCGGUAAUAC
rnacentral:rRNA from 1 species